UGGGUCCCUUGCAAUAACUCGAAUCCUCGAUGCGAUUUCUGGCUUCCUGGGGCACUCCUGGGUCCCCCGAACGCCUGGGUCCCUCAGAACGCCUGAGUCCCUUGUUGGGGAUGUGGACCCAGGCAUCCGGGAGGGGACCCAGGCGUCCGGGAGUGGGUCACGUGACUCCCGGACGCCUGGGUCCCUUGCAAUAACUCGAAUCCUCCAUGCGAUUUCUGGCUUCCUGGGGCACUCCUGGGUCCCCCGAACUCCUGGGUCCCCUCCCCGGACGCCUGGGUCCCCCGUUCAGAUGCGGCCGCACUGCCGCAGUUUGUCCACCAGGGCGGUGACGUCAUCCACGCGCUCCCCU